GGGGGGGGGGGGGGGGGGGCGGGGCGCGGGGGGGGCGGGCGGGGGGGCCGGGCUGGGGUGGGGUGGGCGGGGGGCGGACGGGGGAGUAACGCGUGAGUGGCCUGCCCUUGACUUUGGGCUACCUUCGGGAGGCUGGGGGUAGUACCGGAUAGGAGCUGCUGCUGCAUGGUGGGGUUGUGAACGUUUCGGCGGUUGGGAAUGGACUCGCGGCUUAUCAGCUUGUUGGUGGGGUAGUGGCUUACCAAGGGUUUGACGGGUAGCCGGCCUGCGAGGGGUACCGGCCACAUUGGGAUUGAGAGACGGGCCAGAAUCCUACGGGAGGCAGCAGUGGGGAAUAGUGCACAAUGGGAGGAAGCCUGAUGCAGCAACGCCGCGUGCGGGAUGACGGCCUUCGGGUGGUAAACCGCUGUAGCCUGUGACGAAGCGUGAGUGACGGUAAUGGGUAAAGAAGCGCCGGCUAACUACGUG
rnacentral:rRNA from 1 species